rnacentral:rRNA from 1 species
GACGAACGCUGGCGGCGUGCUUAACACAUGCAAGUCGAACGGAAAGGCCCUGCUUUUGUGGGGUGCUCGAGUGGCGAACGGGUGAGUAACACGUGAGUAACCUGCCCUUGACUUUGGGAUAACUUCAGGAAACUGGGGCUAAUACCGGAUAGGAGCUCCUGCUGCAUGGUGGGGGUUGGAAAGUUUCGGCGGUUGGGGAUGGACUCGCGGCUUAUCAGCUUGUUGGUGGGGUAGGGGCUUACCAAGGCUUUGACGGGUAGCCGGCCUGAGAGGGUGACCGGCCACAUUGGGACUGAGAUAGGGCCCAGACUCCUACGGGAGGCAGCAGUGGGGAAUAUUGCACAAUGGGCGGAAGCCUGAUGCAGCAACGCCGCGUGCGGGAUGACGGCCUUCGGGUUGUAAACCGCUUUCUCCUGUGACGAAGCGUGAGUGACGGUAAUGGGUAAAGAAGCACCGGCUAACUACGUG